CCAUUAUUCUGAAUGUGGAUUUAUAGCCUAUAUAUAUCAAAUGAGACCUAGAAAGAAUUUGCUUCGCACAUAUAUAUGCAUGCAUCUUGUAUAAUGCACACUUGUCCAACCUUCCGGAGGUGAGAAUUUAUAUAUAGAGUUUGGGAAUUAAUUAUGAUGGAGUUGGCAAACACACACACACACACACACACACACACACACACACAUACACACACACUCUCAACAGCAGCCCUGCUGGAAAUGUUCGUUAGCCUUUAUCAGCAAAAGUUCUGCCCCCUCAGCUAUUCCUUUUUUUUUUAAUGUUUCAUUUAUUUUAGAAAGAGCGCAAAUGGGAGAGGGGCAGAGACAGAGGAUCUGAAGUGGGCUCUGUGCUGACAGCAGCGAGCCCCAUGCAGGGCUUGAACUCGUGAACCACCUUGAGAUCGUGACCUGAGCCAAAGUCGGACCCUCAACCAACUGAGCCACCCAGGUGCCCCUCAGAAAUGGAAUCCCAGAAAAUUCACCCAGGACCUGGACUUCAGUCUCCUUCUGACCGUGAUCACGAUGCAACGUCUUCAGGAAGACCCCACCCCAGGUGGUCAAACAGUGCCCUGAGCUAGCACUGAAGCUGGAUGACAGAUGAGGACGGACAGAUCUGAGGAGAGGCCGGGGAGUACGUGUAUGAAAAACAGUCAUUAGCUCUUACAGCCCGGAGUGCUGUGCCACUCACAAAGCCCUUCUCUAUACUCCAGGUCAUUUCCUCCCAGCCUCACUCUUCUGUGAAGAACUUAGAAUAAUCAUCUUGAUACCAGAGACGAAGAAGAUAAGACCCAGCAGGUGUAAAAAGCCUGACUGUCGGACAUCCAGACCUUGGCAGAAAGGGAAUUUGAACUUGAAUUUUUGGUACCACGUUGAUGCUCUUCUGAAGUUCAGAGCUCAGGCGGCUUUGUUCAUCAAAAGCCUACUGACCGGCCCUGGAGCCGAAGAUCCGGGCUUGCUGGAGAGCAGUGAAGGAAUGGAGCUUUUAAGGACCGCUGCUUGAGCUCAGUGCCAAGGUUACCAUUUCCAUUGUCUUCCUGUAGCAAAUCCUGUGGAAAUGGAAGUUGUACUUCAGUUAAGGAAGUGUCCAGGAUUCCUGAGUGAUUCCAGCAACAUCAGCAAAAUCUGGAGAGAAAAUUGGCUGGAGACCAAUCAAACAGCAAGAGCAGGGAUUCCAGCCCCCUCCCCGUGGACCUAUAUUUUCACCACAGCCAUUUUUGAUCCUCAAACACAGUGGCUGAUGCGGCUUUCAGUAAGAGAAAGGGAGAUAGGCCAGACUCCUGGAAAGGACAUGGACCCACUGGAGAAGAAGAAACCGAGCUCUGCCAUCCACUGCUGGGCAACCUUUAGCAAAUCACCAAACGUCUCACAACUACCUUUGCAAAAAUGUCCGCCACAUCUAUCUCAGACAAGUUUUUGUUUGUUUCUUUGUUUGUUUGUUUGUUUGGUGUGUGCAUGAAUGCCCAAUAAGAUCCUGAACAUGAAACCAUCUUCAAAUGCAAAAUACUACUCAAACAUAAAGCAGUUUCAAGAGUCUGAUCGCCCUUGUCAUGUUAUUAACCACUCAGUGGCAAUCCUUGACAUUGCCAGCGGCCUAGUGAGCUAACGACCUCUUCACUCAGGGCAUGGGGAGGAGAACUCUAGGGUAAGCCUCCCUCUCUGGUGCCCAAAAGAGAUCCCCCAUGAAGGAGAGAUAUGAGCUCAUUGUGACUUUCUGAAGUUGUGUUUAUUUAGGUUUUUUCCUGUCAACUCAUAGCUUUUUUGGGGGAAAAGAAACGUCUUACCCACAGUGGCUUAUGCUAGAGAAAUAAAAAAAUAAU